rnacentral:rRNA from 1 species
CCUACGGGUGGCAGCAGUGGGGAAUAUUGGACAAUGGGGGCAACCCUGAUCCAGCCAUGCCGCGUGUGUGAAGAAGGCCCUCGGGUUGUAAAGCACUUUCAGUGAGGAAGAACGCCUGGUGGUUAAUACCCAUCAGGAAAGACAUCACUCACAGAAGAAGCACCGGCUAACUCCGUGCCAGCAGCCGCGGUAAUACGGAGGGUGCGAGCGUUAAUCGGAAUUACUGGGCGUAAAGCGCGCGUAGGUGGCUUGAUAAGCCGGUUGUGAAAGCCCCGGGCUCAACCUGGGAACGGCAUCCGGAACUGUCAGGCUAGAGUGCAGGAGAGGAAGGUAGAAUUCCCGGUGUAGCGGUGAAAUACGUAGAGAUCGGGAGGAAUACCAGUGGCGAAGGCGGCCUUCUGGACUGACACUGACACUGAGGUGCGAAAGCGUGGGUAGCAAACAGGAUUAGAUACCCUUGUAGUC